CAUCUGUCUCGAUUCACCCAAUUCACAU
rnacentral:sRNA from 1 species